CACAAACAUCAAUUCCAUGCACCCGAUUCGACCGUUAUCAGGCCAUGAAAUAGGUGUUAUCCGUCACUUUAACCACCAUAGAUGUGGGUCAUUAGGGGCCUACUAUGCCUGCUGCAUUGUAAAAGUGAAAGUGAAACUUUAAAAGUAACACGUUCUAACAUGUUGUAAAACUGAAUGAAACGUCACG